UGUAGCGAGAUUUUCUGUUGUGCUUGAUCUAACCAUGUGGUUGCCAGGUAUAAGUAAAACAUGGUUCCGUCAAGCACCAUGGAACGUCACGCAGCU
rnacentral:pre_miRNA from 10 species